GAUGAACGCUGGCGGCGUGCCUAAUACAUGCAAGUCGAGCGAAUGGAUCAAGAGCUUGCUCUUAUGAAGUUAGCGGCGGACGGGUGAGUAACACGUGGGUAACCUGCCCAUAAGACUGGGAUAACUCCGGGAAACCGGGGCUAAUACCGGAUAACAUUUUGAACCGCAUGGUUCGAAAUUGAAAGGCGGCUUCGGCUGUCACUUAUGGAUGGACCCCCGUCGCAUUAGCUAGUUGGUGAGGUAACGGCUCACCAAGGCAACGAUGCGUAGCCGACCUGAGAGGGUGAUCGGCCACACUGGGACUGAGACACGGCCCAGACUCCUACGGGAGGCAGCAGUAGGGAAUCUUCCGCAAUGGACGAAAGUCUGACGGAGCAACGCCGCGUGAGUGAUGAAGGCUUUCGGGUCGUAAAACUCUGUUGUUAGGGAAGAACAAGUGCUAGUUGAAUAAGCUGGCACCUUGACGGUACCUAACCAGAAAGCCACGGCUAACUACGUGCCAGCCGCCGCCGUAA
rnacentral:rRNA from 1 species